rnacentral:rRNA from 1 species
GAUGAACGCUGGCGGCGUGCCUAAUACAUGCAAGUCGAGCGAACAGACGAGGAGCUUGCUCCUCUGACGUUAGCGGCGGACGGGUGAGUAACACGUGGAUAACCUACCUAUAAGACUGGGAUAACUUCGGGAAACCGGAGCUAAUACCGGAUAAUAUAUUGAACCGCAUGGUUCAAUAGUGAAAGACGGUUUUGCUGUCACUUAUAGAUGGAUCCGCGCCGCAUUAGCUAGUUGGUAAGGUAACGGCUUACCAAGGCAACGAUGCGUAGCCGACCUGAGAGGGUGAUCGGCCACACGAGAAGUGAGACACGGUCCAGACUCCGACGGGAGGCAGCAGUAGGGAAUCUUCCGCAAUGGGCGAAAGCCUGACGGAGCAACGCCGCGUGAGUGAUGAAGGUCUUCGGAUCGUAAACCUCUGUUAUUAGGGAAGAACAAAUGUGUAAGUAACUAUGCACGUCUUGACGGUACCUAAUCAGAAAGCCACGGCUAACUACGUG